rnacentral:tRNA from 1 species
GCCUUCGUGGUUUAAUGGUCAGCACACUUGGCGCGUAUUCGAGAGAUUCGUGGUUCGAGUCCCGGUGAGGGCA